UACGGGAGGCAGCAGUGGGGAAGUAUUGCACAAUGGGCGCAAGCCUGAUGCAGCCAUGCCGCGUGUAUGAAGAAGGCCUUCGGGUUGUAAAGUACUUUCAGUCGUGAGGAAGGUGUUAAGGUUAAUAACCUUAGCAAUUGACGUUAGCGACAGAAGAAGCACCGGCUAACUCCGUGCCAGCAGCCGCGGUAAUACGGAGGGUGCGAGCGUUAAUCGGAAUUACUGGGCGUAAAGGGCACGCAGGCGGUUAAUUAAGUUGGAUGUGAAAUCCCCGGGCUUAACCUGGGAAUGGCAUUCAAGACUGGUUAGCUAGAGUCUUGUAGAGGGGGUAGAAUUCCAUGUGUAGCGGUGAAAUGCGUAGAGAUGUGGGGGAAUACCGGUGGCGAAGGCGGCCCCUGGGACAAAGACUGACGCUCAUGUGCGAAAGCGUGGGGA
rnacentral:rRNA from 1 species